GUGCCAGCAGCCGCGGUAAUACGUAGGCAGCAAGCGUUGUUCGGAGUUACUGGGCGUAAAGAGUAUGUAGGCGGUUUGCCAAGUCCGGCGUGAAAUCUCCCGGCUCAACUGGGAGGGUGCGCCGGAUACUGGUAGGCUAGAGUGCGGGAGAGGAGAGCGGAAUUCCUGGUGUAGCGGUGAAAUGCGUAGAUAUCAGGAGGAACACCUGCGGUGUAGACGGCUCUCUGGACCGCCACUGACGCUGAGAUACGAAAGCGUGGGUAGCAAACAGGAUUAGAUACCCUCGUAGUCC
rnacentral:rRNA from 1 species